UAUAUACACCAUAAGAUUGAAAAAUUUUACGUUUACCUCCUAGAGUGAGGCUGUAUUCCUACUAGCUUUAGAAUGGCUGCAUUUUGUGAAAGAACAUGAAACUUUAUUAAAAAAAAAGUAACUUUGAUAAGACUGUUAAUUUGUCACUAUCCUGUGCCAAUUAUUUAACUUCUGUUAAUAUGAUCCUACUUUAGGAGGUGUGCAGACAGCUGCUACAGACAAUGUCCAGAACAAUGCGCUCAUUGAUGCAUUCAGUGCCCUCUCAUCAAGAAAUGGACUGAUCACUCAACGGUCUGUCUAGGUUGGAACUUGGGCUUACAGCCUUAUGUCAAGUGCACAAACUCUGACUCUGACAGUAACUUCUCCUGCUGCAAAUCCUAAUGUACCCCCCCCAUUACAGUGGAUUCUAAAAUGAAUAAAGACACCAGCACCUUCCCUAGUCCAAUGGUUGUUUAUGCAGAAGUUCGCCAAGGAUCCCUGCUUAUUAUAGGAGCCACUGUAACAGCCCUCAUUGAGUCAGCUAAUGGCACAACAGUGACUCCAGAACUUCUGGAUGAUAGUACAGGGUGCUGAUGCUUUCAAGGAUGAUGCUAUCUAUUCAAGGUAUUUCACAUCCUACAAAACAAAUGGUUGAUACAGCUUAAAAGUGAGAGCCCUGGGAAGAACAAACACCCAAACGCCAAGAGCCCAAGUGAAUGGAGCCUUAUACCAGGCUGGGUGGAGAAUGGUAAGAAACCUGAUAUCUCUUUUAGGUGGUUAAUGGUGGAUUUUUGUUUCACGUACUAUUUUAUCUUCUUGUUCAAGAACUUCAGGGCAAUUUUCCUUAAUAAUUUCUUG
rnacentral:lncRNA from 1 species